rnacentral:rRNA from 2 species
UACGGAGGGUGCGAGCGUUAAUCGGAAUUACUGGGCGUAAAGCGUACGUAGGCGGUUUGUUAAGUCGGAUGUGAAAUCCCCGGGCUCAACCUGGGUGCUGCAUUCGAUACUGGCAGACUUGAAUACGGUAGAGGGGGGUGGAAUUCCAGGUGUAGCGGUGAAAUGCGUAGAGAUCUGGAGGAACACCAGUGGCGAAGGCGGCCCCCUGGACCGAUAUUGACGCUGAGGUACGAAAGCGUGGGGAGCAAACAGG